UAAAAGAGAAGCUUGACGAUUCUCGCUCUCUCUCGCACAGAGACGAUUGCACUUAAUGACUGUGGCGCCCCUUCCUCAAGAGAAGGCAGCGGCCGCUGUUCCACUUGAUAAAUAUUAACAAGAAGUACGACUGAUGGCGGUGCUCACUGAUCCAUAAUUGCGUUUCAAAAUGUUCAGUGGGCGAUGGCGGGAGAUCAAAAACAGGGAGCGCAGCCCUCGGGAGUGACAAGUGAUGCCUGUCAAGUGAAUCCCUUGGCAUCGUGUCAAUGGAAGAGAAGAUUUGGUGAAAGAAAUGCAAUGACAAUGCGACAUUUUGCCUUUCAUGCGACAUGCAUCGCAGGGCACUUCAAACAAAGAUAAAAUGGAUCCAUAAAGCUCCUGGAGGUGCCUAUAGGAGAUGGGGCUAAGCCACAGGGCACAGAUUGAUUAGGUCUGUCUGCUUGCACAGAAUGGGGCUUGGAUGCAACCAGCACAGGACACCUCCUCGUGCACACCUCCAUCUUUUUAAACUGCGGGACUAAAACUAUUUCAAUACGAGCUCACCUUAUGUGAUGACACAAAUGUGUACUUGUAGGCCCAGUGAUAAGGAAGCAAUUAAAACCCCAUUUGGGGUUGUUUCAUGUA